rnacentral:rRNA from 1 species
AUGGGGGGAAGAACCAACCGGGAUUGCCUCAGUAACGGCGAGUGAAGCGGCAAGAGCUCAAAUUUGAAAUCUGGCCCCCCUGGGGGUCCGAGUUGUAAUUUGGAGAGGAUGCUUCGGGUACGGUGCCCAUCUAAGUGCCCUGGAACGGGCGGUCAUAGAGGGUGAGAAUCCCGUAUGGGAUGGGCGGCCGUGCCCGUGUGAAGCUCCUUCGACGAGUCGAGUUGUUUGGGAAUGCAGCUCUAAUCGGGUGCCAAAUUUCAUCUAAAGCUAGGUUCGGCGGGGCGACCGGGACGCCACUAGUAUCGUUCCCCAGGGGG